rnacentral:rRNA from 1 species
AAUUAUUAUUAGAUUUUUAAAUAAUUAUUCACGAAAUAAAUUGAGCUAAAUUUUUGGUAUUUUUGGAAAUUAUAACUAUAUGUUACAAAAUAUAUUAACUAAAUAGAUUUAGGGGUGAAAGGCCUAUCAAAUUUUAUGAUAUCUUGAAGUAUAUAAAAUAUAUCAAGUAUUCCUAAUUCAACUAUUGAAUGUUUAGGUUCAAUAGUAACAUUAUAUUUUUUAAAAAAUUGUUCAAUUUUUUUAAGUAAAAUUGAGUUAGAGCAUAAAAUAUACAUCAAAUUUUUAUUAUAUGAAUAUAAAUAUACUACGGUUAUUAAUAAAUAUAAUCAUAUAUAAUGUAAUUAUUAGUAAUAGUUUAUUUAAACUAUAUAAAGGAAUUCGGCAAGAAAAUUUUUCACCUGUUUAUCAAAAACAUAGCUUAUUGAAUAUCAUAAUAAGUAACCCCUGCUCAAUGGAAAUCUAAAUAGCCGCAGUACCUUGACUGUGCAAAGGUAGCAUAAUCAAUUGGCUUAUAAUUGAAGUCUGGAAUGAAUGGGUAAUCUGGAAAAUAACUGUCUUUAUUUGUAGUAUUUUGAAUUUACUUAUAAAGUGAAAAUACUUUAAUAUAAAUAUAAGACGAGAAGACCCUAGAAAUUUUUUGUUAAUAACUUUUGUUGGGGCGACAGGGUAACAUAUAAACUUACUUACAUUUAUAUAAAUCUUAUAAGGUACGUAACUAAAUUACUCUAGGGAUAACAGCAUAAUAUAUAAAAGUUUAUGACCUCGAUGUUGGACUAGGUAAUUAAAUAUUUAAAAGAUAUCUUAAUUUGCUCUGUUCGAGCAGUAUCACCUACAU